AUGAAGCAUGCCCAUGAUAAUAGAAUGAAACGUAAUAAUUCAUGGCGUCCUCAGCAAGAAGCACGUGGCCAGCGGUUCGCCUCGCGCCCAGCAGCUCCAGAUAGCCUCCACAACAAUGCACCGUCCCGUCCCACUCACCCAGCUCCAUAUAGCCUCCACAACAAUGCGCCGUCCCGGCCCACUCACCCAGCUCCAUAUAGCCUCCACAACGAUGCGCCGUCCCGGCCCACUCACCCAGCUCCAGAUAGCCUCCACAACGAUGCGCCGUCCCGGCCCACUCACCCAGCUCCAGAUAGCCUCCACAACGAUGCCCCGUCCCGGCCCACUCACCCAGCUCCAGAUAGCCUCCACAACGAUGCGCCGUCCCGGCCCACUCACCCAGCUCCGCUCCAAAACACUUUUUUUUGUUGUCCCGUCCUUCCCCAUUCUCCCCCUUCGGGGCUAUUCGGAGUGAAUUUAUCGUGGCUAGUUGCCAAUGCUCCCUGUAUCAUCUGAAAGGGAUACAAGGCGAACAGCACUUACCGAUUGUCUGCUUGGCAUUCCUUCAUACUCCCUUUUAGAAUACCUUUCAGCUUCUUUAAAGGGAACAGUUUCAGCCAGAGAUGUUACCUACCAAAUGUGGAUGUCUUUUCUGACUGAUACACUUGUGAUAAUUCCUUCUGUACAUUCCAUGCCUGUUUUCUCGUGAUGAUUAAAUGAUUGGUCAUGCCUGACAAAUAAAUCAGAUUAAGUCAGUGGGGAGUGACCAGUCGCACUGCAGCCCAUCCAUGCCCUUCACUUUGACUGAGAUCCUGAACAAACACAAGCACAGAGCAUGAAUUAGUGAUACUGUACGUGUCCACUCCAGCCUGGGAGUCUGAUACAUUAGUUUUAUUAAAGGAGUCACAGAGAGCAUAUGAAAUGCCCUCUCUGUGCCCACUGGCUCCCUGAGAGGGAGAGAAGUAUGCUGGGUUGGUUGGUGAUAGAAGUGCGUUCCCACUAUGAGUGUGAUAUGCUCCUAAUUUUAAUGCCUGGUUCUUUGAAGAGCUCUGGUCUGAAUUUGGUUCUUGUAUUACACAUGAUGUGGUGUGGAUGCUGGUAGUUUAGGAUGGGAGGCAGCGUGGAUGGGGUGAGCGAACAGAGCCUUGAUUGAUCCCAUAGACCUCAGAGCUUCCGUGUAAGGGUCAGUGCAUGUCACGUGGUGUGUGCAUGUACGAGACUGUGGUCGGCAUGGUACAAUGCGUAAUGGAAAAGACAAACUCCAUCACUCAUCAUCCUCCCCAGAGUCUUUCUACCUCUCAGAUGUCUGCUUUGAUGGUGGCUGCAUGGCAACCCGCACGAUUAGACAAAAUCAUUAUGCUAAUGAAUAUGUGCGUGUUCCUGGAAGGUGUCACCGUGGAGACCAGGGGUCUGUUGGGCGAGCCCCGGUGUCUGGUCAUCUGUCUGGGGUGAUGGAUGGUGCAGAGAGACGGACGUGUCCUGCAGGGGAACACACAUGUGUCUGACUGGGGCAAACAUGGAAAGGGUGAUGGAUCCAUUCAGAGGGAGGACCCUAUAGGGCCUCGCAUGUCAUUGAUGUGAAAAGAAGCUGAUUGUCAACGGCCCGAGAAUGAGAGAUUCAUUAUUUUUAUGAGCAACAGGUUCUCCCUGGUCCACGUUUAUUCCCACAGUCACAUUCUGCUCUUCUCUAAGGAGGCCUCGGACUGGGACUGGGACUCCAUUUUGGGUCACAGACCUAAUUGCUCGUCAGGGGAGAUGCUAGCUAGCGCCCUUACAAGAUGAGCGCUCCUGAUUGGCUGACACACACUCCGUACUUCUGAUGUGCUGGCUUCCUCUCCGAUGUCUGGCUUUUCCAGGCUUUUACACAGCUGCGGUGAUUGCGCUUUAUCCAAUCCUACUGCAGAGCACACACUGAGUCUUAUAGCCUAGCAGCGCAGCGGAUCGGACUUUGUUUACACGGCUGACAUUUUCUUUUACUUGAGAAAUACUGCGCCGUACACCUUAGCUAGAUGUCAAGUUGCACAACUAAAACCUCCUCGGCAAAAACGUCAAAAUGAAUGACAGAUUUCUUGAGUUAUCUUAGAUUAAUUCUGCCUAUUUUGAGGAAGUGAUGCUGGCUUUGUUCCCGUGGUGUCUCAUGGGAGACGUCAGUAACGUCAGUAACUGCCACAUCGAACCACACCCCAAAGACUGAAAUAUUGUUUUUCUUAAUGAGCAGCAGAGAAAUACAUGCAGAAUUGGUGCCUUCAGUCACUCUUUUUAAGCGUUAACAGCGGUGGGUGACUCUGGAAAGCAUAGAGAGCUGUGUGUGUAUGGGGCUUUAGUGUGUGUGUGAAACUCUGUCUCCUCUCAGAGGCUGUCCUGUCUGUCUGAUACACACUUUAUAAGGGGCUUGGGAGAGGGCGGAGGGAGGUAGAAAAAAAUCUAAGUGUGCUUAGAGUGUGCCAGUUCACCAGUUUGGUGGUCUUCUUCUGAAGGUCGUUAAUUAGUGCAGAAUGCAGACUACAGUUCUACUGCCAGCUCUGAUGAAAAGGGAGAGGGAGCGAGACGGAGAAAGAGGGAGAGAGAGGGGGAAAACUGAAUGGCUGCCAAGAGUGAGGAAUUUGUGAUAGGUUCAGAGUGGUUCCAAAUGUCGGAGCGGAGCGUGGAGUCUCCCAGCGCUUAAUGCCUCCCGACCCGUGUGUUUGCAGCAGGCCCUGCUAGCCACACAGAGCAAAGCAGGCACAACACAGCUCCGCACAGCGGCUCUGUUUACAUCAAGAGAUGGGAGACAGGGAGGCCCACACAGACUCUUGCAUUGACCACACAUCAAUCUCUGUCUGUUGGUCUCGGAGCCGUGGGUUCACACUGAAAGCAUCAGGCUAAAAUGUGUUUAGGGCUUCUGUUUCCUUCCACAGGGAAAUGCAGGUUUAUGAAUCUUAUUAUAUUUUCCCUCUUUCAAAUUUGUGAGCAAAACAUGAGAUAACCGUAUCACAAUACUUGUGAGGACGAAAUGUAUUGCGAUUCUCACGAUUCUAUAUGUAUUGCGAUUCAAUGCUGGGAUUUUCCAAGCAUCAAUUGUUCACCACAUGUCUGCAGCAGAGAGACAGAGUUUUGAUCAGUCUAGUAUUUUGUAAAUGUAUCCUUUAUUUAACUCAGGAAGUCAGUUAAGAACAAAUUCUUAUUUACCAUGACAGCCUACCGGGGAACAGCGGGUUAACUGCAUUUUUCAGGGGCAGAACAACAUUUUUUUUUUUACCUUGUCAGUUCGGGGAUUCGAUCCAGCAACCCUUCGGGUUACUGGCAGAACACUCUAACCACUAGGCUACCUGCCGCCCCAUGUAAAUAAAAGUGCUGAAAAAAAAUUGGCUCCCUAUUUGAAAAGAAGAUGGCGAACACGCUAUGAAGGAAAAAUACUUCGAGUUUUGGUGCAGGUACAGCCAACUAGCGCAAAAAUAAUAUUGCGAUAUUAUCAAAACGAUACGAUAUAUUGUCAAAAAUAAUAUCCCGAUAUGUAACUGUAUCGAUGUUUUCCCCAUCACUACCACACACUGUCACCAUGUUAAAUCCACUACCCCUAACUCCCCAGUCCCCCAUACCUCAUGAAAUAAUGCAGGCCAUGUGAGGUCCACUAAAGUCCUCUGGCUGAGAAACAUCAGAAGCAAGCAGCAGUUUUAAACCUGAAGGAAUUAUGAACUGGCUGGAGCAAGGAGAGCCCAACCUUAUUUAGUCUGCAGGUGCUUUGUGUGUGUGAUACAGCUUCCACAGCGGAUCAUAUACAGAUAGACCACUUCAAACUGAAUAGGCCUUCUGUUUUGGUCCCUUUUGAACAUGGCACCUUUUUAAAUACUUCAACGGCUAUUACAUGAGGAUAGUGCUGCUGGCUAUGUUUGGAAUACUCCAGGGCUUGCAGCUGUACUUUUAAUUUUUGUAAUCCCUGAGAUAUGAAUAACUUCUGGCAGGCAGACCGAGGUGUCUGCGUAUACUUAAAGGCCAUUAUAAGCGUUUAUCAAUGACCUUCACACAAAACCUGCCUGGCGACCUCUCUGUGGGACAACAGCACAAAAUGGAACAGAUCUGAAUCCAAAGAGGGCCCAUUUCUCUUUGCCAGACCUUUAUAAAAGCAACAACACCACCUUGCAGGGCCCCACCCAACCACACUCAGCCUGGCCCAGCGGCUAGAAUGGAAAAGGGCAUUAUGUCAGUUGCACUCUCUCCGAUCAGCCACAUGGGGUGCAUUGUCUGCGGAGAAUAAGAAGACGUUACUGUAGGAGAAUGGCUCAGGCUGCCUGAUGCGUUCACGUAUCAUGUUGUUUGUUUAUUGUUCAUCACUCCUUUCUCGUUCUCUCUCGCCUGUCCCAGCCUCCUACAUAAUCACAUCUUUUAGACUUGUUCAUCAUUAUUCUUCUUGUCAAAUGUAUACAUUUUUUGUCCAAUGGGAGCUUUGGCUCUCCUACUGAAACAAAUGCACACUACCGUAUAGACAGUACAAAAGCUCUCCAUCCCUGGCCUCUUUCCUCGGUGGGGUUUUGUGUAAAAGACGGCUGACAGACAGUGCUGGAGGCGCUGCAAGGGUGCGAGGGGAGGGGG
rnacentral:lncRNA from 13 species